UACGUAGGGUGCAAGCGUUGUCCGGAAUUAUUGGGCGUAAAGAGCGUGUAGGCGGCCCGGUUAGUCCGCUGUGAAAGUCCAGGGCUCAACCCUGGAAUGCCGGUGGAUACUGUCGGGCUAGAGUCCGGAAGGGGCGAGUGGAAUUCCUGGUGUAGCGGUGAAAUGCGCAGAUAUCCGGAGGAACACCGGUGGCGAAGGCGGCUUCCUGGACCGACACUGACGCUGAGGCGCGAAAGCUAGGGGAGCAAACGGG
rnacentral:rRNA from 1 species